GUCCAUUCUGUACACAUCGGCCAAGCAGGUAUCCAGAUGGGCAAUGCAUGUUGGGAGUUGUAUUGCCUGGAGCAUGGUUUCCAUCCAGAUUGAAGAAUACAUGAGUCCAGAACUGCAUCCCUGGCUGACUCCUCAUUUGGUACCUUCUUCAGUGAGACUGGAGGUGGGAAACAUGUUCCCAGGGCUGUCUUCAUAGAUUUGAAGCCUACAGUUGUGGAUGAGAUAAGGAACGGACACUACCAUCAGUUGUAUCCCCCUGAACAACUCAUCAGUGGCAAGGAGGAAGCUGCCAAUAACUAUGCACGUGGCCAUUACACUAUUGGAAAGGAGAUUGUGGAGUCUGUACUGAACAUAAUGUGUAAAAUGGCAGACCAAUGCCCUGGACUACAAGGCUUCCUAAUCUUCCAUAGUUUUGGGGGUGGUACUGGCUCAGGCUUUGCUUCGCUGUUGAUGGAGCGUCUGUCUGUAGAUUACGGCAAGAAGUCCAAACUGGAGUUCUCUGUCUACCCUGUGCCCCAGGUGUCUACAGCAGUUGUGGAGCCCUACAACUCCAUGCGGACCACACACACCACUCUAGAGCACUCAGAUUGCUCUUUCAUGAUGGAUAAUGAUUGCCAUCUUUGACAUAUGCAAGUGUAAUCUUUGUGUGGAGCGUCCAGCUUAUACCCAUCUGAAUUGCCUCAUUGCCCAGAUUGUCUCCUCAAUCACUGCCUCUCUGUGCUUUGAUGGUGCACUCAAUGUGGACCUGACAGUUUCAGAUCAACCUGGUACCUUACCCCCGUAUCCACUUCCCCCUGGUCACUUAUGCUCCCAUCUCAGCAGAAAGGGCCUAUCAUGAGCAACUCUCUGUUCUUGAGAUCACAAGUGCCUGCUUUGAGCCGGCUAACCAGAUGGUAAAGUGUGAUCCCAGGCUUGGAAAGUACAUGGCUUGCUGCUUGCUGUACCGUGGUGAUGUGGUGUCCAAAGAUGUCAACGCAUCCAUCGCCCACAUCAAGACUUGCAAAUCCAUUCAAUUUGUGGAUUGGUGUCCCACAGGAUUCAAGGUAGGGAUCAACUACCAGCCGCCUACUGUUGUGCCUGGGGGUGAUCUGGCCAAGGUGCAGAGGCUUUGAGUCGUCUGGACCACAAGUUUGACCUGAUGUAUGCCAAGCGGGCCUUUGUGCACUGGUAUGUGGGUGGAGGAAGGGGAGUUCUGAGGCCAGAGAGGACAUGGCUGCUCUGGAGAAUGAUUAUGAGGCGGUGGGGGUAGACCCUGGUGAUGGUUGUGAGGAGGAAGAUGAAUACUAAAUUUGCCUCCAAUUCAUUUUUAUACUUCAGCCCCUUGUCUAAUUAUAAUAACUCCAAGCAUUUGAAUUCAUGCUUUUUUUUAAUACAUUGGAUUUAUUUAUUGAUACAUGUAUGAUGGUUUGGAACUUGUCAGGAGUGGCUGUGUAUAAUUACAAUAAGGUGUCUCAACUUUGGAUGGUGUCUCAACUUUGGGGGUGGUAGGCUAAUUUGCAUACUAAAAGAAGAUUAGCAAUUGACAUGACAACAAGAAUUGUUGGUACAUCUGCAAGUAACAUUUUGUGUGCAUUGACUGCACCUGACUGUAUUUAAGCCAAAUGGUGUAUCUAAACUGUAAAUGGGGAGGAUCAACUUCAUAUCUGACUAGUGUAAAUCAAGCAUUGUUGUCAAUGGGAACACAACCUGCACAUGUGUAACUGAUGUGAAAUGGCUAGAUAGUUAGCGGUGGUGUGCGCUAAUAGCCUUUCAAACGGUGACAUCACUCUCUUUGAGACCUUGAAGUACUGGUUCCCCUUGCUCUGUAAGGGUCGAUGGGUAACGAUGCUUCGUGGGUGUCAGUUGUUGAUGUGUGCAGAGGGUCCCUGGUUCGCGCCCGGGUCGAGGGGACGGACUAAAGUUAAACUGUUACACAUGGAGUAGGUGUUACAUUGUCCAAUAUUUGACUGAUUAACAUUAUUUGAGAUGUGGCGUCUGAAGUGUCAGUAUAAUAACCGAUACAUUUCCCAGUUCUUUGUAGAGAUGCAUAAAUAAGCAUAACCUUUCUCAAAGACCAAUAAAAUGUAUGGCUAAUAGGCCUAUGGUGGAAAAUUGUGC